rnacentral:lncRNA from 1 species
CAGAUGGAGUUUCUGUAAUUUUCACUCAGUUUUGAGUAGACUACAGAUGUGAAAGGGCUGUUUGGAAACAAGCUUUGUCAAGAAAGCAGCACAAGGUGAGAUUCCUGAGGUCUCAAGCUUUUUAUACCGAAUCAUCCCUUUGUGCAUUAUUUUGCGCUCACACCUUCUCUUUUACCUUGUGGCCUGCUCCCCUGCCUCCUUUCCUUUGUGUGCUCCCGUUCCCUUGCUUUCCCAAGCAUCUGCCCCUAAACUCCACACCUAGGAUCCUUGACUGUAAGAAUUUGUACCUGUCUCUUUCAACAAAAAACAUUGUUCCCAAACCUCUGGCGAAACUGGGUCUAGUCCCACUCCUCUCUCAUCUACUUACCUCUUUGAAAAAGAGAUAAAAAGGCUAGAUGGACUUUUUCUGAGGUUUCUCAUGUUCCCACUGACCCCCACAUACAUCUUGUGCUUGAUCUCUCCCCUUCCUCGCAUUUUGAAAGCUACUGCUCUGGCUAAACUGAAUCAAUAAUAGCUCUUGGACGAAUCUGUUUUUUUUUUCCAGGCGCUUAUAAAGAAGCCAGUCAGUUGAAAAAAUUAAAACACUAUGGCCCAAGAAAGAUUCCUUUCUUUAAAAAAAAACACAAAACCAAACCCCAACAAAUUUAAACCCCCAAAUGCUUGCAAGGUAUCUAGGGGACAAGCAGUCUACCUACAUAAACUUACACCCUUGAAGCCAAGAAAUGGUUGCUAGACAGCCAGCUUCCAGAGAAGACGCAGGGCACCAAGGUCUCCUUCAGGCCCCUUGGGGUCCCAUCAGCUCUUCUGAUGUGGCCUCGUUGUCUUUUUCCACAAGGCACAACAUUUUAUAUAGCUUGUUUGAGGAUCUCGAGGUUAAGUGGAAAUUAAUGUACAAUAACCAAUACCUUUCCCAGAAACUAUACUGCAGAAACAGUGUUGACUCCAAUACUGCAGAACUUGCUCCAAACCUAGGAGGAACCUGGUCCGUGGUUCAGGGUGUGAGGGAAACCGAGGACCUGGCUGAAACGGACUUUGUAAGAGUGCAAAGAACGGAGAGAAUGGGAAAAGCCAGCGAAGGUUGGCCUGACCUGGAACCGCAAAAUGGUGGCCCAAACUGGUACUUCAAGGUGACAGAAGGACCUCGGGUUAGGCUGUGUUUUGACUGUAAGUCAUUGUUGUAGUUACUCUACGUGAAAUAAAAGUAAUUGUAGGACUGUGUAAUAAUUGGCUGACUCAAGUGUCAAAAUAAAAAUUACCUCCUUGGUUUGCAGGUUGUUAUUCUGAAAUCUUUUCCUCAAGAAAAUAGUCCUAAUUUACAUGUACAUCACCGGCAAAUCCUUAUUCACAUAAACAAUGCUGCUUCUGCUCUUUCCUAUUCUGCUUUUCUUCCAGAUCAUAAAAAGUCAAUGGACUCUUACUGGCAGGUAAUGGCUGCUGGAUCAGUCAUGAAAACACCUGAACUAAUAAAGAUCUGUAGUAUAAAAAAAAAAAGAGCAAGAUUUACGGGUUCAGUUUGGCAUAUAAGAAUUUAGCAUAUAAUAGAAAAUUCUAGAUAUAGAAAAUCUCUCUCUCAUUCUUUUUAUAUUGGGCCAGUGAGACAUUAUGCUACAUCAGGUGUCAGAGAUGCUGAGCCCCUGUGAAAGAAUUCCUUUCCAGAUCAGCAAGUUUUAGUACGAGAGAAAAUUAAGAAGGACGGAGAAAGCAUCUGGUAUAAUUAAUCUGUUUUGGGACUGGUGCCACUGAGUCAGCUGGCUGACUGUCGUCUCGACCACUCGUGUUUUCUCCUCUCAGCUUUCUUCCCUCGUUUCCUAUAAACUGAUUAUUCUGAAGCUCAGCAUACCACACGCACGCAAAUACCCUCGGCAAGGCGGAGCUUACUGAAUUAUUCACAGCAUUAAUAUUUCUACGGUGGCCACGGCAAGUCUUUAACCGCUACCUCCGUACGGCCACGGGAGGGCUCUUCGGGCGGCUCCGGAGCUCCCUGGCCGGGAGCCGGGCAGCGCCUCAGACCCGGGAGCCGGGCAGCGCCUCAGACCGGCGCCCGCCCUGCCCCGCCCCCCCCCGCCGCCGCCGCUCCAUCCGGGCCUCUGCGCCGCGGCCGUUGGAAGCGUUCGAAACCCCGCAGCGGCCAAUCAGCGCAGAGCGCUCACCCGUUCGGCAACCGGCUCCCGCAACGAGGCCUGUUGGUCUGCCCAGGAAACUUCCCACCGCCAAUGGCGGACCGCCCAGCCGUGAGCGCCAGGUGCGCUAUCCAGUCAGAGAGGGCAGGAGGCGAAGCGCCGUCCAAAAAGGGCGGGGGAGGGGGCGGGACAUCUCGGAGAGAUGCCGAAUGAGGUAGUGGCUUACAGAGGGGCGGCGUGGCCGGCAGCCAAUGCUUGGCGCGGUUAGUGCGGCGGCUCGCUUUUUGAAUCGGUGGUGGCGGCGGCCGCUCAUGGCGGAGGCUGGUUUUGCGGUUGGCGGCAGGUGGCAUCGGCGGUGAGGGGAAAGCUGGCCCUGGGCGCCGGGAACGGGUGGGAAGCUGGCCCUGGGCACCGGGAACGGGCGGGUGUGGCCGGGGU